rnacentral:rRNA from 1 species
UACGUAGGGGGCAAGCGUUGUUCGGAUUUAUUGGGCGUAAAGGGCGCGUAGGCGGCGGGGUAAGUCGGGUGUGAAAUCUCAGGGCUCAACCCUGAAACUGCACUUGAUACUGCGGUGCUUGAGGACUGGAGAGGAGACUGGAAUUUACGGUGUAGCAGUGAAAUGCGUAGAGAUCGUAAGGAAGACCAGUGGCGAAGGCGGGUCUCUGGACAGUUCCUGACACUGAGGCACGAAGGCCAGGGGAGCAAACGGG